rnacentral:tRNA from 1 species
GCGGCUUUAGCUCACUUGGGAGAGCGCCAGACUGAAGUUCACUUCAGCCCAUAUAUCUGGAGGCACUGUGUUCGAUCCACAGAAGCCGCA